ensembl:lncRNA clathrin heavy chain 1-like
AGCUGACCCCCUCACACUCCCUUCACCCGCAAACCCACGCAUUUCCCUGCUUCAUACCCCACUGAGCUCCUGUGUGUGAGAGUGUGUUUACAGCAUCUGCGCCGCAGGACAGGCGGCUCGUAUCAGUGCGCGCGGAUCUACUUUCUCACGCGGAAGAGUCCCGCUGCGCUCCGAGAAGAAGAAGUCCGAGACGCAGAGGUUCACGAGCAUUCACCGAAUAACCGCGUCUAACGGGACACACACACAACUCUUCAUCUGCGCCCCCUCCUCCUCAUCUUCCUCCUCUCCUCUCCGUGAGAAUGGCGCAGAUUUUGCCGAUCCGCUUCCAGGAGCAUCUGCAGCUGCAGACGCUGGGAGUGAGUCCGGCUAGCAUCAGCUUCAGCUGCCUGACCAUGGAGUCGGACCGCUUCAUCUGCAUCCGAGAGAAGGUGGGCGAGCAGAACCAAGUGCUGAUUGUGGACCUGAGCGACCCGAGCAGCCCGAUCCGCCGGCCGAUCACGGCAGACAGCGCCAUCAUGAACCCGGCCAGCAAAGUCAUCGCUCUGAAAGCGGCGCGGACGCUGCAGAUCUUUAACAUGGAGAUGAAGAGUAAAGUCAAGGCUCACACCAUGACGGACGAAGUGCUGUUCUGGAGGUGGAUCUCGGUUAACACCAUCGCCCUGGUUACGGACACGGCCGUCUAUCAUUGGAGCAUGGAGGGAGACUCUCAGCCAAUCAAUAUGUUUGAUCGUCACGCCAGCCUCGCGGGAUGCCAGAUCAUCAACUACAGAACGGACGAGCAGCAGAAGUGGCUCCUGCUCAUUGGGAUAUCAGCGCAGCAGAAUCGUGUGGUCGGUGCCAUGCAGUUGUUCUCUGUGGACCGUAAGGUUUCUCAGCCCAUCGAGGGUCACGCGGCUGCGUUUGGACAUUAUAAACUGGAGGGAAACCCAAACGCUUCCACGCUCUUCUGCUUCGGCGUCAGAGGGCAGGCUGGAGGAAAGCUGCACAUCAUCGAGGUCGGUCAGCCUCAGACCGGUAACCAGCCGUUCACUAAGAAAGCAGUGGACGUGUUUUUCCCUCCUGAAGCACAGGCGGACUUUCCUGUGGCCAUGCAGAUCGGAACUAAGCACGGCGUCAUCUACCUCAUCACUAAAUACGGUUACUUUCACAUGUAUGAUCUGGAGUCGGGCGUGUGUAUUUACAUGAACCGCAUCAGCGCUGAAACCAUAUUCGUCACGGCUGCUCACGAGAGCACAUCUGGGGUCAUCGGGGUCAAUAAGAAAGGACAGGUGCUGUCGGUGUGUGUGGAGGAGGAGAACGUAGUAAAUUACGUGACUAACGUGCUGCAGAAUCCCGAGCUGGCGUUGCGUUUGGCAUUACGCAGCGAUCUUCCCGGAGCCGAGGAGCUCCUGACACACAAGUUCAACACGCUCUUCUCUCAGGGCAGCUACACCGAAGCGGCUAAAGUCGCUGCGUCGGCUCCCAAGGGUGUGUUGCGAACGGCAGAGACGGUCCGGCGGUUCCAGGCCGUCCCGGCGCAGGGGGGCCAGCCGUCUCCGCUGCUGCAGUAUUUCGGGGUUCUGCUGGACCGCGGGCAGCUCAAUAAGCUGGAGUCGUUGGAGCUCUGCAGGCCGGUGCUGCAGCAGGGACGAACACAGCUGCUGGAGAAAUGGCUCAAGGGAGAGAAGCUGGAGUGCUCGGAGGAGUUGGGUGAUCUGGUGAAGGCGGCUGACGUCACUCUGGCCCUCAGCGUUUACCUGCGAGCGAAUGUUCCUGCUAAAGUCAUCCAGUGCUUUGCUGAGACGGCUCAGUUCCAGAAGAUAGUGCUCUAUGCUAAGAAGAUGGGGUAUUCUCCAGACUGGGUGAUGCUGUUGAGGAGUGUGAUGAGAUCCGGUCCUGAUCAGGGCCUUCAGUUCGCUCAGAUGCUGGUUCAGGAUGAAGAGCCGCUCGUCAACAUCAGCCAGGUGGUGGAUGUCUUCAUGGAGGGGAAUCUAGUGCAGCAGUGUACUUCAUUCCUAUUGGACGCUCUGAAGAACAACAGGCCGGAGGAGGGGCCUCUGCAGACACGCCUCCUGGAGAUGAACCUCAUUCACGCCCCUCAGGUCGCAGACGCGAUCCUCGGGAAUCAGAUGUUCACUCACUACGAGCGCGCUCACAUCGCUCAGCUGUGUGAGAAAGCCGGUUUACUGCAGAGAGCUCUGGAGCAUUACAGCGACCCCGACGACGUCAAACGGGCCAUCGUACACACACACCUGCUCAACACCGAGUGGCUGGUGAAUUUCUUUGGCUCUCUGUCUGUCGGUGACUCCGUCGCGUGUCUGAGGGCCAUGUUGGCUGCAAACCUGCGUCAGAACCUGCAGCUGAGCGUUCAGAUCGCCACCAAGUACCACGAGCAGCUGGGAACGCAGACGCUGGUGGAGCUUUUCGAGUCGUUCAAGAGCUACGAGGGUCUGUUUUAUUUUCUGGGCUCUAUCGUGAACUUCAGUCAGGACCCCGAUGUGCACUUCAAGUACAUUCAGGCGGCGUGUAAGACGGGUCAGAUCAAAGAGGUGGAGCGCAUCUGUCGAGAGAGCAGCUGCUACAACGCCGAGCGCGUCAAGAACUUCCUCAAGGAAGCCAAACUCACCGAUCAGCUUCCUCUCAUCAUCGUGUGCGACCGCUUCGAUUUCGUCCACGACCUCGUGCUCUACUUGUACCGUAACAGCCUGCAGAAGUACAUCGAGAUCUACGUACAGAAGGUCAAUCCCAGCCGGCUACCGGUGGUGGUCGGGGGUCUGCUGGAUGUCGACUGCUCCGAGGACACCAUCAGGAGUCUGAUCCUCGCCGUACGAGGAGAUUUCAGCACUGAUCAGCUGGUGGAGGAAGUGGAGAAAAGAAACCGACUGAAGCUGCUCGUGUCCUGGCUGGAAUCUCGUGUUCAAGAGGGCUCUGAAGAACCCGCUACCCACAAUGCACUGGCAAAGAUCUACAUAGACAGUAACAACAAUCCUGAGCGCUUCCUCCGAGAAAACCUGCACUACGACAGCGUGACCGUGGGCCGAUACUGCGAGAAGAGAGACCCGCAACUCGCCUUUGUGGCCUAUGAGAGAGGACAGUGUGACCUGGAGCUCAUACAGGUGUGCAAUGAAAACUCCCUGUUUAAAAGUGAGUCGCGGUAUCUGGUGCGGCGAAAAGAUCCAGAUCUUUGGGCUCAAGUUCUGCAGGAGACGAACCCAUACAGACGGCCGCUGAUAGAUCAGGUGGUUCAGACGGCUCUGCCGGAGACGCAGGAUCCAGAGGAAGUGUCUGUGACGGUGAAGGCGUUUAUGACGGCCGAUCUGCCUAAUGAACUCAUUGAACUUCUGGAGAAGAUCGUUCUGGAGAACUCCAUAUUCAGUGAACACAGGAACCUGCAGAACCUGCUGAUCCUGACGGCCAUCAAAGCGGACCGGACGCGGGUCAUGGAGUACAUCAACCGGCUGGACAAUUACGACGCUCCUGACAUCGCCAACAUCGCCAUCAGCAGCGAGCUGUACGAAGAGGCCUUCUCCAUCUUCAAGAAGUUCGACGUCAACACCUCAGCGAUUCAGGUUCUGAUCGAGCACAUGGGCAAUCUGGACCGGGCGUACGAGUUUGCGGAGCGCUGUUCCGAGGGCUCGGUCUGGAGUCGGCUGGCUCAGGCUCAGCUUCAGUCUGGUCUGAUCAAAGAGGCCAUCGACUCCUACAUCAAAGCUGGAGAGCCGUCGGCGUACAUGGAGGUGGUGGAUGCUGCCAGUAGAAACGGGAACUGGGAGGAUCUGGUGAAGUUUCUUCAAAUGGCGAGGAAGAAAGCCAGAGAGUCGUUUGUGGAGACGGAGCUCAUCUUUGCUCUGGCUAAAACAAAUCGUCUGUCUGAGCUGGAGGACUUUAUCAACGGCCCCAACAAUGCUCACAUACAGCAAGUUGGCGAGAGAUGUUAUGAAGAGGGUAUGUUUGAAGCCGCCCGGCUGCUGUUUAAUAACGUGUCUAAUUUCGCUCGUCUGGCGUCCACACUCGUUCACCUCGGCGAGUUUCAGGCGGCCGUUGACAGCGCACGAAAGGCCAGCUGCACACGCACAUGGAAAGAGGUGUGUUUUGCGUGUGUGGACGGAGAGGAGUUCAGGUUAGCGCAGAUCUCCGGCCUUCACAUCGUCACUCAUGCUGAUGAACUGGAGGAGCUCAUUAACUACUAUCAGGACCGUGGGUAUUUCGAGGAGCUGAUGGUGCUGCUGGAGGCGGCGUUGGGGCUGGAGCGCGCUCACAUGGGCAUGUUCACCGAGCUGGCCAUCCUCUACUCCAAAUACAAACCCCAGAGGAUGAGGGAACAUCUGGAGCUCUUCUGGUCUCGGGUCAACAUCCCUAAGGUGUUACGAGCGGCUGAGCAGGCCCAUCUGUGGGCGGAGCUUGUGUUCCUGUAUGAUAAAUAUGAGGAGUAUGACAACGCCAUCCUGACGAUGAUAACGCACCCCACCGACGCCUGGAGAGACGCUUCCUUCAAAGAGCUCAUCAGCAAGGUGGCAAAUGUGGAGCUGUAUUAUAAAUCCCUGCAGUUUUAUUUGGACUAUAAGCCGCUGCUGCUCAACGAUCUGCUGUCUGUUCUCGCUCCUCGACUGGAUCACAGCAGAGCCGUCAGCUACUUCAGCAGGGUGAAUCAGUUGCAUCUGGUUAAACCGUAUCUCAGAUCAGUGCAGAGCCACAAUAACAGAGACGUGAAUGACGCGCUCAACAACCUGCUGACUGAGGAAGAGGACUAUCAGGGUCUGCGUGCCUCCAUCGAUGCAUACGAUAACUUGGACUCGAUCGGUUUGGCUCAGAGGCUCGAGACACACGAGCUCAUCGAGUUCAGACGCAUCGCUGCGUAUCUCUACAAGAGCAACCAGCGCUGGGCUCAGAGCAUCCAGCUCUGCAAGAAAGACAAACUCUACAAGGAUGCGAUGCAGUUCUCCGCUGAGUCUCAGGACGGAGCUCAGGCUCAGGAUCUCCUGCGCUGGUUUGUUGAGGAGGGGAAGUGCGAGUGUUUCGCCGCGUGUCUCUUCAGCUCCUAUGAUCUUCUGGCUCCUGACCUGGUCUUAGAGCUGGCCUGGAGACACGGCCUCGUGGACUUCGCCAUGCCGUACUUCAUUCAGGUGACGAGGGAGUACCUGAGCAAGGUGCGUACGAAAGCAUCUCAAGCAUGUGCUGCUCAUCAUAAAGCUAUAAAUGUUGCUAUUGGAUGUAUUUGA